GGGCGCAAGCCUGAACCAGCCAUGCCGCGUGCAGGAAGACGGCCCUAUGGAUUGUAAACUGCUUUUAUACGNGAAAAAACCUCCCUACGAGUAGGGACUUGACGGGACUGUACGAAUAAAGAUCGGCUAACUCCNUGCCAGCCCCCCCGGC
rnacentral:rRNA from 1 species